rnacentral:rRNA from 1 species
UACGAAGGGGGCUAGCGUUGCUCGGAAUUACUGGGCGUAAAGCGCACGUAGGCGGCUUUCUAAGUCGGGGGUGAAAUCCUGGAGCUCAACUCCAGAACUGCCUUCGAUACUGGAGAGCUUGAGUCCGGGAGAGGUGAGUGGAACUGCGAGUGUAGAGGUGAAAUUCGUAGAUAUUCGCAAGAACACCAGUGGCGAAGGCGGCUCACUGGCCCGGUACUGACGCUGAGGUGCGAAAGCG